rnacentral:rRNA from 1 species
AUUGAACGCUGGCGGCAUGCUUUACACAUGCAAGUCGAACGGUAACAGGCCUUCGGGUGCUGACGAGUGGCGAACGGGCGAGUAAUGCAUCGGAACGUGCCCUGAGGUGGGGGAUAACGCAGCGAAAGCUGUGCUAAUACCGCAUGUGAUCUGAGGUUGAAAGCGGGGGACCAGGCAGCAAUGUUUGGCCUCGCGCCUUUGGAGCGGCCGAUGUCAGAUUAGGUAGUUGGUGGGGUAAAGGCCUACCAAGCCGACGAUCUGUAGCUGGUGUGAGAGGACGACCGGCCACACUGGGACUGAGACACGGCCCAGACUCCUACGAGAGGCAGCAGUGGGGAAUUUUGGACAAUGGGCGCAAGCAUGAUCCAGCAAUGCCGCGUGCGGGAAGAAGGCCUUCGGGUUGUAAACCGCUUUUGUACGGAACGAAAAGGCUCUGGCUAAUACCUGGGGCUGAUGACGGUACCGGAAGAAUAAGCACCGGCUAACUACGUG